CUCGACAUAUAGAUGGCGUUACGAAAGCGAAAUUACCUCCUCGAGACUACACGGACCGUCGAGCAUCUGAUAUGUCAUAUAAAAUGUAGCUAUUUUGUUAUAUAUUUAUUUAGCUUGCAGAGGUUUUCUUUUUGGCUUUUUAUUAGUUUUGUUUUUUACCUUGGAAACAAUUAAAUGACAGUCAUCAUGAUAAGCCAGGUGGGACUUUUGACGUUAUCAAUAAAAAGAGUGUAUUGCUGACAUAAAAAUUUAUUACUGCAUGAACGUCUUUAAGAAGAAGUCAGGCCAAGAUGAAAACCGAGAAAUGAUUGCUGGCAUCAAAGAAAUUUGACGAACAAAUAUAAAAACAAGAGGGACGAGACGCUAGACAAGAAGAACGUGACAAACGUGACCGUAAGAAAGACAGAAAAGAACAAGAAGAAUCAGACCGACAACAAGAAGAACGAGCUUCACAAUUUCAAGAAGAUCUUGAUAUAAAGCAAAGAAAGUUAUUGAUCCACUUCGAAGCAACAGUCGAAGAUGAAUUUGGAGAAGUAGAAUUUGGAAUCUGCCGAAAAAUAACUUUCAAUUAUUAAAUUUUGCGAAAAAUGUUCAGAAAAUUGAUCUGCUCUCAUGUUUCACCCAAACAUUCAGGUGUAUUGCCAGAAGGGAUAAAGGAAAAAUGUCUAAAAAAAGCAGUGAAGUAAAUUGUUGUAAAAACAUAACAAAAGUGAGAAAUAAAUUCUGACAAGAAGCUGUUGUGUUAAAGCUGUCGAUAGCAACAGACACAGAUUUCCUGGUUUUUUAAGAGGCCCAAUAUGUUUAAUACUUAAGGUCACUUUCUUAAGCCUUAAGACCAUGAAAAUCUCAGUACUAAACAAUUCUAAUAUGUGAAAAAUAUUAGAAUCAGUAUUAGAACCAGUUUCAAUGCAUGAACAAUUUUGGAUUCUAUACAAAUCAUGAAGUCUAUGAAAUUUUCAAAGGUAAAUAGGAAAAUAAUAAGUGGUGUAAAUUUUACAUUUAACAUAUUUACUCAUCAGCUCUUUAAUUGCUAAUUUGUUCAUAGUUAUGAACGUUACUAGUGAAUUGAGUACUUUUACCAACCUUGUAUAAUUGUUUAUUUUUAUUGUAUAAAUUGUGAAUUUUUUUGCCAUAAUCUUGUUUCACAAUAUAGUAAUAAAUUUUGUGAAUA